UACGUAGGGUGCAAGCGUUAAUCGGAAUUACUGGGCGUAAAGCGUGCGCAGGCGGCUUUGCAAGACAGAUGUGAAAUCCCCCGGGCUCAACCUGGGAACUGCAUUUGUGACUGCAUGGCUAGAGUGCGGCAGAGGGGGAUGGAAUUCCGCGUGUAGCAGUGAAAUGCGUAGAGAUCGUAAGGAAGGCCAGUGGCGAAGGCGAGUUCCUGGACAGUUACUGACGCUGAGGCACGAAGGCCAAGGGGGAGCAAACGGG
rnacentral:rRNA from 1 species